ACCAGGUGUCAUAAUGAGCUCUGCAGGAGAGCUCACACAAGUUACAACAGGAGGAGGAACAACCACUUGCUUUAGGCACAGAACAUCUGCUUACAGGCAGUUCAUGGUGAAAAACUGCUCCAAGAACCUCUCCCCCAUCAGACGAGAUAGUGCAUGCUGAAUGCAAGAACACUGAGAUCCCGCUGGCUCAAUUUCUGUUUCUUAGUGAACACAGAAGCUAAAAUGCUACCUGUAACAGGGCUGAGAGAGGAGAAACUAGGCAUACAGUUCCCUUCUGGAAAACAGAGUUUGUCAAGCUACACCUGGAACAAGAAUCUGACCUUGAGAUCUGCACUGUGGAAGAUCUGCAGCUGUGUAGAGCAAAAAUAGAAAAAUUUGGAUCUUCUCUUUCUACUUUUUCAUAAUCAAGGAGCAUCUAUCCAAGUACUGUUUUACCACUUUGGUUGAUAAUGUAUGACAUUUGAUGGUUUUAGGGUUUCCAUGAAUGAGUUUCUAACUGAGAACUGUUUUUCCAAGUGAAGAACAAUGGAGGCAUGGAAAAGAACCUGUAAAAAAUUAACACGAAUAAGGUGUUUUCUCUAAAAACUACUUCAGGUUCCUUGUGUGUACUCUCAAAGUCCUCAGUAAAAACAUACAGAUGGCCCAAAUCCAUGUCCCACUGAUGGUAAUUCCCAUUACUCAACUAAAAUUUUGUGUUGCCAGUGCCUACUAUCAGGACAAUUUUAUCAAUAUUUACUUGAUAGAAAUGUAUAUCAGAUAAUUUUUCAAGGCAUUUAGAGCUCUCUUUUCCCUCCUGUUCAGCCACUUAGCCCAGCUGCUGUUGUAGCAAUUCUUCCUAGACAGGCUUUGGCAAGACGAAAGCAGUAGUGAAUCAUAAUCAUACAAUCAUAGAAUGGCCUGAGUUGAAAAGGACCACAAUGAUCAUCGAGUUUCAACCCCCUAUGUGCUGUGUGCAGGAUCACCAACCACUAGACCAGGCUGCCCAGAGCCACAUCCAGCCUGGCCUUGAAUGCCUCCAGGGAUGGGGCAUCCACAACCUCUAGUGAGUGCACUACAAAGAAUAAAAACAGCAAAUGUUCAACA
rnacentral:lncRNA from 1 species